GAUGAACGCUGGCGGCGUGCCUAAUACAUGCCAGUCGAGCGAACAGACGAGGAGCUUGCUCCUCUGACGUUAGCGGCGGACGGGUGAGUAACACGUGGAUAACCUACCUAUAAGACUGGGAUAACUUCGGGAAACCGGAGCUAAUACCGGAUAAUAUAUUGAACCGCAUGGUUCAAUAGUGAAAGACGGUUUUGCUGUCACUUAUAGAUGGAUCCGCGCCGCAUUAGCUAGUUGGUAAGGUAACGGCUUACCAAGGCAACGAUGCGUAGCUGACCUGAGAGGGUGAUCGGCCACACUGGAACUGAGACACGGUCCAGACUCCUACGGGAGGCAGCAGUAGGGAAUCUUCCGCAAUGGGCGAAAGCCUGACGGAGCAACGCCGCGUGGGUGAUGAAGGUCUUCGGGUCGUAAAACUCUGUUAUUAGGGAAGAACAAAUGUGUAAGUAACUAUGCACGUCUUGACGGUACCUAAUCAGAAAGCCACGGCUAACUACGUG
rnacentral:rRNA from 1 species